GUUUACGUUUCAAAGGUCGUGUGUACCCAGUCGGAGCCCGCAGGGGCGAGGCGGCGGUGGGGCGGGCUGUAUUCAGGGCCAGGCACUCCGAGAGCGAGGAGGUCCCCUGGUCCCCGCAGGAACCCCCUUCUCCCGCUGAAGGAUCGGAGUUUCUUCGGUCAUUUCCGGAGCCUCUUCUAACUUCUGGGCUCCGUGGGCUCGUCCCGGGUGGCCCCGGCGGUGGUGGCAAACCUGAGCAGGUCCCUCACGGAGCCGCUGGAGUUCACUGCGGAGAACACGUAGAGGAGACGGGGCGGACGGACCCCGGAGGAUAGGUUGGGAGACCGGCUGUGAUCCGAACGGCAUUUGGAGCGGAGGAGCGGAUCAAACCAAGUUAGGGGCGGGAGGUCCAGGGCUUGGAAGUGUCGAGGGGAUUAGCGUUGCAGAGGUAGAGGCUGUCCAGCUUGAUGUGCCCGGUUAUUUUCAAGCCUUCUCCAACCUGUCUUCCCGCCUGGGGCCGCCUAGGGUCACGUGCACCCCGCCCCCACCCCCGCCUCAGGCCAGGGAUCUGGGGAAACUCGCGCACUGCUGGGAGGUGGGUUAAAGUGCUCGGAGAGGCCUCCGGGCUGGACACCUCGGAGGCGGGCUAAAUAGUUUCGAUUAUUUUGUGACCUAGGUCACGGUCUUCUAUUUCCUCACCCAGGGAAGAAUAGGAGGGGAAAAGUGCUAAUGGUGGAAGGUUGUGCCAGAAGUCACCGAGGACUGCCGGAAAGUCCUGGGCAGUGCGGGACUGCCCAGGGAGAUGCGCGGGGCUCGGCCCCUUCCUGUCGCUGGGCUGCGGUUAACACAAACCCGGUGGACUUCGCUCCAGACAAGGUCUCACUAAGUUCCCCAGAGUGGGCUCAAACUUGAGAUCUUACUGCUUCAGCCUCCUGGAGUGCUGGGACUUACAGGUGUGUGCCACCACACCCAGCUUGAUCUCACUUAUUUUAACCUUUAAGAUAGUAAUACAUUCCAAACCAGGUGGUGGAGGGUUAAAUGAUACAGGGGAGAGCAUGUCACAAAGUUGUGUGUUUGCAUCUGAAGUGAUGAGGUAGCAUCACUGAAGCC
rnacentral:lncRNA from 1 species